rnacentral:rRNA from 1 species
UACGUAGGGGGCGAGCGUUGUCCGGAUUCAUUGGGCGUAAAGAGCUCGUAGGCGGCUUGGCAAGUCGGGUGUGAAAACUCCAGGCUCAACCUGGAGACGCCACCCGAUACUGCCAUGGCUUGAGUCCGGUAGGGGACCACGGAAUUCCUGGUGUAGCGGUGAAAUGCGCAGAUAUCAGGAGGAACACCGGUGGCGAAGGCGGCCAUCUGGCUCGGUACUGACGCUCAGGCGCGAAAGCGUGGGGAGCAAACAGG